rnacentral:lncRNA from 1 species
CAUUAGCACUGUUCUCUGUCUGGGUUUCUGCUGUGCCCUCCAGCCUGUGUGUAGAAGGCAGGCUGCAGCCCCAUAGGCAUCCUCCAGGCGUGCUGUGCAGUCUCCGUGUGAUUGAGCUGGGCCUAUAAACUCCGACUAAAUUGGUUCUAAGGGUUUGGUUGUUCUGAAGGGGGAUGAUGCUGUAUUCUCCAUGUGUUCUCUGGUCUCCAAAAGACAUGGAGAUAGACAGACAGUAUGAUGCUGGACUCUGACAUGGAGUUUAUCAGGGUUUUCCCUCCAGCAACAGUUGCAGGUCCUUAUGCCUUUUUAUUGAGCUUGUGUGAAUUAAUAGUGUUAGGUGAAGCUGCCCAAGACCGGGGCGAUACUGUCAUUGCCUUAACUUCUCCCCAGUUCCUGCUGAUGAGCCUGUGAUGUGUUCAUUCUCAACUGCUUUAUGUUUUUAAGUUGGAUGUCGAUGGACAGAUAGACUCCUUCCAUCUAUUCCUGUCACCGAGGCAGGUACACCUCCUUCUGGAUAUGUUAGCAGCUAUUGCUGGACCAGAAAGUUCUAGCAAAAUUGGGCUAGCUAAUAAAGACAGGAAAAAUCGACCCAUGCAGCAGGAAGAUGAGUACCGAAUUCAGAUGGAAUUAAACCGUUAUUAUCUGAGGAAAGAUUCCCUCUCUCUGGGCGUGUCUUCAGAGAAGAGCUUCUAUGAGACAGAAACAACUCGUACACCUUCUAGCCGUGGUAAGCAGCCCAGGUAGCCAAUACUAGACCUGCAUUUUCCUUUAUGUGGAAUUAGACUUGAUUUAGCUACUGUGAAAUCGCUUGCAGGGGAGAGCAGACCUGCAGCGUGACAUUGGUUCUGUCCUGUUGGCACCUGCACAGCAGGAGGCACCAUGCUACCGUUUCUUGAUCUUGUAAGCAAUGCUAUUCUCCCUAAGGGAGUCGGUGUGUAAAAUGUAGACCGACACACACAUCGUUUGGGGACGCGUGUCAUCUCAUCAGUGUGCGCUCACCUGAGUGUGUUCCUUAAGUAGAAAGUGUUGCUGGCCUUUCCGUCUUGCUGGUCUAACUGCCUCGCAGUCUGCUUUACAUUACGGGGUUUCAGACUGUAUGAGCAAAGAGUAACAGUCUGCUGGCAUGGAAAACGUUGACCCAAAUCAAAAGUUAAAGCCUACUCAGAGAACUUUUAGACCUGAGCUUGAUUUGCACGAAGGUCAGACAAUCACUAGAGAGAAGGCACUGAACUGCCAGUAGGGUCCUAAAUGUCUCUGUUCCUCAUUCUCAUCUGGAAAGUAGCCAUAUUCACAAGAAACCAGAGACUAGCACAGCUACAGAAUUUUAUUAUUUACAGUGUGGUGCUGGAGACCAAACCCAGGGCCCUUUGUAAGCUGAUGCCAUUUGAAAAUCUGAAUUUUAACUUCUCAACUGCUGUGUGACAACUAAGUUUGUUGUAUUACUGCGUGCCAUAGAAUCCCAGAGAACACUCGGGGGGAGGCUUGAUCUGUGGCUCCUUGUGUGCAGUUGCAUGUUUACCGUGCUGCGAAGCGCCAUGCUCAGGCGUGCUCCUCCUGCAGCAGAGGCGCAGGCUGUGUCUCACACACUUGGAAGGAGGUUCCGGAAGUGUGACUAGGCUUCUUGCACACUGGGGGAGUGCAUCACCAAUGACAGUAUCAUUCUCUCCAGAAGAGGAAGUCUUCUUCUCCAUGGCCGAC